GACGAACGCUGGCGGCGUGCUUAACACAUGCAAGUCGAACGGAAAGGCCCUGCUUUUGUGGGGUGCUCGAGUGGCGAACGGGUGAGUAACACGUGAGUAACCUGCCCUUGACUUUGGGAUAACUUCAGGAAACUGGGGCUAAUACCGGAUAGGAGCUCCUGCUGCAUGGUGGGGGUUGGAAAGUUUCGGCGGUUGGGGAUGGACUCGCGGCUUAUCAGCUUGUUGGUGGGGUAGUGGCUUACCAAGGCUUUGACGGGUAGCCGGCCUGAGAGGGUGACCGGCAAAAUGGGGACUGAGAUACGGCCAAAACUCUUAGGGGAGGAAGAGGUGGGGAAUAUGGAACAAUGGGCGGAGGCGGGAUGAAGCAAGGCGGCGGGCGGGAGGACGGCCUUAGGGUUGUAAACCGCUUUCGCCUGUGACGAAGCGUGAGUGACGGUAAUGGGUAAAGAAGCACCGGCUAACUACGU
rnacentral:rRNA from 1 species